rnacentral:lncRNA from 1 species
AUGCUGCAGAACUUGCCAGCCUGCAUAGAACCCCUGAUAGGCACCAACUGUGAGGAGACACAGAGCUUUCUCCAGCUGCCAGAGAACCUGGCUGAGCUCCCGACCCAGCUGGUAGACAUGGGUGUCAGCUUCAUCAACCAGCUCUUCCUGAAGGAGGCCUCCGGCCCUGUCCUGGGGGACGCUGACCCUGGCUGGCCCCAACACCCCAGGUUACUGCAACCUGAACUUCGAUCCCUCCACGGCCAGCGAGGAGCUCUUCCUGUUCAAGGAGACGCACUCCGUGCUGAACCUGGGCAUCCCCCUGGAGCCCUCAGCCAGCGGCGGCCCCUUGCUGGGCUUCAAGCAGUGGCCGCAGGUGCUGUCCUCCCGCGGUCUGUCCCAGGGCCUCCUCUAACGGGAGGCCAAGGUGUUGAACUCCUGGGUGUGCCUGGGCGUCACCUACCGACGCAGCCCCGGCUCAGUGGCCACCCGCGCCACUGCGUCGGCUACCUGCUGGGCCACAACCCCCUACUCCUGGGGCCUGGAGUGGGACUCGCUGAGCCUCUCCGUGUGGCACGGCAACUCGCAGACCGUGCUGCGCGGCGCCCACCACCGCGCGCUCGGGGUGGCGCUCGACCUCGGGGCCGGCUGCCUCUCCUACAGCGUGGCGGUCGGCGAGAGACUCCUCUACCGCUUCCUCACCGCCUUCCUCCAGCCGCUCUAGCCCGCCGUCAAGGUCAGCAGCGCCUCCCGGGUCACACUCAGGCAGCGCCCCGAGGCGUAGCGGGGCCGCCAAUAAAGCUGGACUCGGAGCGCUGGCUGGGGCCGGCGCCGGGAGGGUCCCCUGCGCCCCGGGGGGAGGGCCUGGGGGUCCCCUGCUUCCCGCCUGCUGCCAGGCCUGCCAGGGGGCGCCGGAGCGGGUCCCAAAUAGGCUGUCCCUUGGGCCGGGGAUUUAGCUCAGUGGUUCUGCCACCUGCCUUGCAAGUGGAAGGUCCCAAGUUCGAUCCCCGGUACCCCCCCAAAAAAAAAAAUGCAUCCAAAUAGGCUGCCCCCUUCCUUGACACAGCCACAGGAGGACUCUGAGCCAGGCUGCAGUUCCCCUGGGGAAGGGGACAGCCCUGUCCCCUUUAGAGGGGAGGUUUCUGGCUGUCUCCCACACUAGCAGAGCCCCCUGGUCUUGCGUCUCUGGCCUGUUCCCGAGAGGCCUGGGGCAGGUGCUUCUCCCCAGCUCCUUCCUCCCCAGGUGGCCAGGCUGAAAGGCGGCACCGACAGAGUGGGCUAGGGGUGAUCUGAGCUCCAGCUUCACUGGUCUAGGAGGUUAGGGCAGAGGAUCCCAGGCCUACCCCAGAUCCAUAACUGGUAGGCUGAGAACCUAGGUCCAGCAGGGGCCAGAGCAGAGCUUCUCCCGCAGCUGGUAUUUUCAGACCUGAGGGGCUGUGGGUGCCAUACUGGGUAGGUAAACUUGUUUUUUGGUACCGGGGAUCAAACUCAGGACCUUGUGCUUGCGAUGCAGGCUCAGCGCCACUGAGCUAAAUCUCCCACCCUGGGUGGAUAAACUUUAUGUUACUUAUGGUGAGGGGAGAUUUUUAUGCAGGGUCUGUAAAAAACCUCCAUCAAUAAAAGAAUUAGAGUUAUAAGUUCAGAAGGAAAAAUAAAAUCACUUUAUUGGAAAGGUAAGAGGAAUGGGAAAGCAAAAUCAUUUCAGUGGGAGGUCUUUGUUCUCAGCCGCUUUCAUUAUUUGGCAAGAAAAGGACAACCUGCCUUGAAAGUUGUUAUAAGGAUUGGCCGUCCUGGGCUCUGAAACCCCUGAUUUGCCAUUGUCCCUUCCAUUGCCUGUGUGCGCAUUCUUGGCUAAGCACUUCUUUGGUCUCUUUGUGCUGUCCAGGUGCUUAUUGUGUGAGAUUUACAGCAGAGUUACAUGCGAGGCUGAAUUAAGUAAAAAGGAUACAUGUGGAUUUUAGUGUAUUAAAAUGGUGAGAAUAAUAAAAUAUAUAUGUACUUAUUUAUAUGGGCGUGUGAGUGUUUAGGUGUUCGUGUCUAUUUUAUAUUCCUAGUGAAUUUUUAUAAUAUAGCCCCCUCCACUUUGUUACUUUUGUGCUUAGUUGGCAGUGAAGAGAGAAGGGAAUUGAGCCUUGCCAUGAACAGAGCAGCCCAGCCUUAUCAACUCUCUCUGUUUUUCUUAAUCUCUCUCUCUCUCUCUCUCUCUCUCACACACACACUCACACACAGGGGUUUAACUCUUUAUUUGCCAGAAACCCCACUGAGGUCCUUUAACCCUUCCUGUCUGUCCCCCAACUGUUCCUACUCUUACACCACUCUGCACCCUCCCUAAGGCCCCCAGCCAGCAAAGACUCCACUUCGGCUCUGUCCACAUCCAGGCCUCUGGCACCUCCCAGCCCAUAGGGGUGUGUGGAAGCCUGCAGACAGGCUUGAUCCAGGCCAGGCCUCUUCUGAUGGACCCUGGCCGGGCCGUGGCUGGGGUCUCAGACCUCCCGGGGGAGCAGAGGGUUCUAGCCUCAACCAGCCACUGUUCCUGGGCGUUCCAAACCCAGGGCUCUGGGUAACAUUAAAGAUUGAUUUGGAAGAGGAAAUGAUCCAAGUCAUGAGGAAGAAAUUCCCUAGGACAAAGCUGGCAGCUAGGCCUGACUACACACUGAUUGCAAAUUCCACCCCACCUGACUUGUUCACGAAGAAAUCAGUGACCCAGUUCUCUCCAUGAGGCACACACUUUGGAUCAUGGAGAGCAGAGGUGGAGGAUGGGCUCUGAAGGUCUCCCAGAGUACAGUCCCUUUGGCCCCUCACAGCAAACCCUGGAUAGGACCACCUACCUAGUACCCUUCCUCCCUACAGUCUUCCCUCAGCUUCAGUUCCAGGGACUUUUAUUCCCAAUCUUCACUCUUUCUGGGGGAAGCCAAAGGAAGGCUGAGUGUCCUUCCUGGCUGGGCUGAGGUCAGACAUGCUGAGGAGGUGAGGCCACAACCCAAGCAGACAGCAAGGCUGCUUGGAUCUCAGCAUCCUUCCCUGCCCGGGAGCUGACACCAUGGAGGGGGCUGCUCUCCUGCUGUUCCUGCUCCUGGCUCCCAGAGCUCCUUAGCUGGGAGUGGCACAUGGGAAGGAGCCAUGUCUCCCUGGGGCACAUAUGCACAGAUAUAGGGAUAUUACUGACAUUUUUUCUUUGUCUUUUCUUUCUUUCUUUCUUUCUUUUUCUUUCCUUUUUUUCAGAACUAUGGAUCAAAUCCAGAGCCUCUGUACCACUGAGCCACAUCCAGUCCUUUUUAUUUUUUAUUUUGAGAUAGAGUCUUGCUAAAUUGCCCAUGCAGGACUUGAACUUGGGAAUCCUCUUGCCUCAGCCUCCCUCCGUGUUGGGAUUAUAGGCAUAUAUCACCACACCUGGCUUGUUACUGGGUUCCUUAAACAGCUGUUCUUUAUUUGGGAGCCUGGCACCUCUAGCACUCCUCAAGCUCCUUUUGGUAUUUCCAAAGGCCAAAACGCAAUGCGACCUGUACUUUUGGUGAGCUCAGGGCUCCUUGGCAUGCCUCAGUAUGCACCUCAAAGGGGAAAUAUCAUAAAGGGGUAGAAAUAAUAUUUGUAGAGAUGGAAAUGCUAAUUACCCUGAUUUGAUUAUAUAUACAUUAUAUUUGAAUUAUAAUACUGUACCCUAUAAAUCACUAUAAAUAUAUAUCAAUUUUAAAAGAAAAAAAAUAUAUAUAUCAUAGAAGGGGACUUGAAGAGGCAAGUUCGGCCAGCACUCUGGAAUAAUUCUGAAGGACCCUAGUUAGCAAGACAGACUCCAUAUUGCUGCUUGACCCACCUGCCUGCCCUUUAGAUGAACUCAGAAGGAAGAAGCUUAGAAACCUCCUACCCUUAGAGAGUCUCUUAGAAACAACAAUUAAUC